rnacentral:rRNA from 1 species
GACGAACCGUCCAAACGUUGUUCGGAAUCACUGGGCUUAAAGGGCGCGUAGGCGGGUCAUCAAGUCGGGGGUGAAAUCUUUCAUCUCAACUGGAAAAGAGCUUCCGAUACUGGUGGUCUCGAGGGAGGUAGGGGUCGAUGGAAUUCCCGGUGUAGCGGUGAAAUGCGCAGAUAUCGGGAAGAACACCCGUGGCGAAGGCGGCUCUCUGGGACGGUACUGACGCUGAGACGCGAAAGCGUGGGGAGCAAACAGG